rnacentral:lncRNA from 1 species
AUGCCCUGUAUGCCAGAUGGCCAGUCCACCCCUGCUCGGGGGGCAGAGGAGGUAGAGGAGGACGGGGCUCCAGAGACUUCACUGUCAGGGGCAGGAGAUGAUGAGGAGCUUGAGGAGGCAGCAGCAGGGCCAUCGCACAAUACAGGAUAUUCUGGAUACACUGGACGUCCCUGCUCUGAUGACGGAAUUCAUCAGCACCACCCCAGAACGAAAGACCACCUUUGGAGUCCUACCAUCUACUUAAGUUCUUUGAAUGGGCGCAAGAGGAGGAUGGUUUGUAGGUCACCACUGUGUGCGUGCUUGCAUGCGUGCGUUUGCUUCGGAGUUCGGAGGAAGGAGUUUUUUCUUAACACCAGCCCAGCAGUGAGUCAGACCCAGAGGACGCUGAUGCUGCUCCUGCUCCUGCUCCUGCCCCUGUCCCUGUCCCUGCCGCUGGCCCUUCCUGUGUACCUGUCCCUGAGGCUGGCCCUGCCCCAAGACCACAGAGCGGGACGAAGAGGAAGAGAGCCAGGGUACCAGAGGGGAACACAAAUAUGCAGGGAGCCAUCCUCCAGGCCCUGCAGAGGCAAAAUGCUGUGCCUACCCCUACCCCGCUCUCUGGGAAUGAGCACUUUGUCAUGGGCCUAG